rnacentral:rRNA from 1 species
UACGUAGGGGGCAAGCGUUGUCCGGAUUUAUUGGGCGUAAAGAGCGUGUAGGCGGCCUUGCAAGUCCGUUGUGAAAACUCGAGGCUCAACCUCGAGACGCCGGUGGAAACUGCAAAGCUAGAGUCCGGAAGAGGAGAGUGGAAUUCCUGGUGUAGCGGUGAAAUGCGCAGAUAUCAGGAGGAACACCAAUAGCGAAGGCAGCUCGCUGGGACGGUACUGACGCUAAGGCGCGAAAGCGUGGGGAGCGAACAGG